rnacentral:rRNA from 1 species
AUACGUAGGUGGCAAGCGUUGUCCGGAAUUAUUGGGCGUAAAGCGCGCGCAGGUGGUUCCUUAAGUCUGAUGUGAAAGCCCCCGGCUCAACCGGGGAGGGUCAUUGGAAACUGGGGAACUUGAGUGCAGAAGAGGAUAGUGGAAUUCCAAGUGUAGCGGUGAAAUGCGUAGAGAUUUGGAGGAACACCAGUGGCGAAGGCGACUGUCUGGUCUGUAACUGACACUGAGGCGCGAAAGCGUGGGGAGCAAACAGGAUUAGAUACCCUGGUAGUCCACGCCGUAAACGAUGAGUGCUAAGUGUUGGGGGGUUUCCGCCCCUCAGUGCUGCAGCUAACGCAUUAAGCACUCCGCCUGGGGAGUACGGUCGCAAGACUGAAACUCAAAGGAAUUGACGGG